rnacentral:rRNA from 1 species
GACGAACGCUGGCGGCGUGCUUAACACAUGCAAGUCGAACGGAAAGGCCCUGCUUUUGUGGGGUGCUCGAGUGGCGAACGGGUGAGUAACACGUGAGUAACCUGCCCUUGACUUUGGGAUAACUUCAGGAAACUGGGGCUAAUACCGGAUAGGAGCUCCUGCUGCAUGGUGGGGGUUGGAAAGUUUCGGCGGUUGGGGAUGGACUCGCGGCUUAUCAGCUUGUUGGUGGGGUAGUGGCUUACCAAGGCUUUGACGGGUAGCCGGCCUGAGAGGGUGACCGGCCACAUUGGGACUGCGAUACGGAGCAGACUCCUACGGGAGGCAGCAGUGGGGAAUAUUGCACAAUGGGCGGAAGCCUGAUGCAGCAACGCCGCGUGCGGGAUGACGGCCUUCGGGUUGUAAACCGCUUUCGCCUGUGACGAAGCGUGAGUGACGGUAAUGGGUAAAGAAGCACCGGCUAACUACGUG